rnacentral:rRNA from 1 species
UACGUAGGUCCCGAGCGUUGUCCGGAUUUAUUGGGCGUAAAGCGAGCGCAGGUGGUUUAUUAAGUCUGGUGUAAAAGGCAGUGGCUCAACCAUUGUAUGCAUUGGAAACUGGUAGACUUGAGUGCAGGAGAGGAGAGUGGAAUUCCAUGUGUAGCGGUGAAAUGCGUAGAUAUAUGGAGGAACACCGGUGGCGAAAGCGGCUCUCUGGCCUGUGACUGACACUGAGGCUCGAAAGCGUGUGGAGCAAACAGG